rnacentral:rRNA from 1 species
AUUGAACGCUGGCGGCAGGCCUAACACAUGCAAGUCGAACGAGUGGCGGACGGGUGAGUAAUGUCUGGGAAACUGCCCGAUGGAGGGGAUAACUACCGGAAACGGUAGCUAAUUCCGCAUACCAUCGGAUGGGCCCAGGUGGGGUUAACUAGGGGUUGGGGUAAGGGCUCACCUAAGCGACCAUCCCCAGCUGGUCUGGGAGGGUGGCCAGCCACACUGGAACUGAGACUCGGUCCAGACUCCGACGGGUGGCAGCAGUGGGGAAUAUUGCACAAUGUGCGCAAGCCUGAUGCAGACCUGGCGCGUGUAUGAAGAAGGCCUUCGGUUUGUAAAGUACUUUCAGCGAGUAGGCGUUACUCGCAUAAGAAGCACCGGCUAAAUCCGUGCCAGCAGCCGCGGUAAUAC